AGCGAACGCUGGCGGCAGGCCUAACACAUGCAAGUCGAACGAACUCUUCGGAGUUAGUGGCGGACGGGUGAGUAACACGUGGGAACGUGCCUUUUGGUUCGGAAUAACUCAGGGAAACUUGUGCUAAUACCGAAUGUGCCCUUCGGGGGAAAGAUUUAUCGCCAUUAGAGCGGCCCGCGUCUGAUUAGCUAGUUGGUGAGGUAACGGCUCACCAAGGCGACGAUCAGUAGCUGGUCUGAGAGGAUGACCAGCCGCACUGGGACUGAGACACGGCCCAGGCUCCUACGGGAGGCAGCAGUGGGGAAUCUUGCGCAAUGGGCGAAAGCCUGACGCAGCCAUGCCGCGUGAAUGAUGAAGGUCUUAGGAUUGUAAAAUUCUUUCACCGGGGACGAUAAUGACGGUACCCGGAGAAGAAGCCCCGGCUAACUUCGUG
rnacentral:rRNA from 1 species